UAGUGACAAAGUAUCAUGUCUGGAAACCAACUACUCCGUGGAUUAUUGUGGUCCCAUGUUUCCAAAACCUGAAAUCCUGACAACUUGGUGUAUCCUACUUGGCAGUACCCAUAAGCCCAGCAGUGUUAUCACUAUUUUGUUAUAUAUUCCAGGUUAUUCAAAUUGACAUAUCAAAAAACUAAGCAGGAGAGAACACGCUCUACUCCUCCCAAAGCUUCUUUGCCCACUGACUGCAUAUAGGGGAAAGCUAUUAGUCAGGCUUGUUGCUUCUUGUAAUAUAGAAGAGACAAAUCAUAUAGUCAGAGUUAAAGCAACCCUAUCCCAGUGAGCUAACAUGUCAUAGCUAGGAGGGUAGCAGUGCCAAGUUUUGUUGUUGAGAAAUCUGGCAGAAUCUUACAAAAGCUACUAAUGCAUAUGGACGAUGGAAGGUGGAUAAAGCAAAAAAAAUAAAAGAUAACAAAUAUAAAUGAUUCUGUAUUAAUUUGUAAAAAGAAGAACAGAAAAUGCAUAAUACCAGACAGCCAUUCUCACAUGUUGGGUAUUAAAUAUUUGCAUUAGAGCAGUUCUAGAUUUUAGGACAGAAGAGAAAAUAGAGGUAAUCUUGUCAAUACAUGAGGAAAAUGUUUCAGAAUGAAGAGUCAAACUUCAUGGGAUAGAGCCUCAGCAUUUGUAAAUUGUCAUAUGCCUGCUGACUUCAGUGGGCCUAUAACUAUUUACACCAGCUGAGGAUCCACUCCUAUGCUUUUAUGACCCGAUGUUUCCUGACAAUUAAAUAUUGUCAAGGCUUAGAAAGCACCAGUGUAGCAUCCACUCAUGGAGGGAUCUAAGUUAUUGGGCUUUUUUCAUAAGAUGAAAUAUUUUGUUAUAAAAAGAGCUUGAACUAUGAAUUAGGGAAAAAAAAAUCAGAAAUAAAACUGACUGUUAUUUAGUAGUUAUUGAAAUGCCCUACAAACAGAUGCCUCUGAACGUUGCUCUCUGUAAAAUUCCUUUUUUAUUGGAUACUAUUCUUUACCCUGCAACAAAUCUUAGUGGGAAAACUAUAAGAAAUACACAAACUUUUUUUCUUUAGAUAUUUGUAUUUAAAUAGACUAUUAGCCAGUUAACCCCACCACAGCUGUGAUUACCCUAACUCGCUGAACCCACCCUCUUAAUAUGAGUAUAUUGCGCAGGGUGGAUAAAAAUCAAUUAAAAAAAAAACCACCGGAUUAUUUUGAUCAAAUGCUUUUUGAGGAAAAAACCUAUCUAAAGAUAGUUUUAAUUAAGAUACAUUAUAGCUCAAAGAUAUCUCCUUACACAGAGUCAAUCCCUUACCUCUCUCUAAAAGUGCAAAGUUUCAAAAAGUUCAAUGAAUAGAAGAUUGUUGGGGGCAGAAUAGAUCUGGACAAGGAAAAGAAGUCUAGAGAUAAAUGUGAGAAGGGAAGGACAGGCAGUAGAAACAAAAGUGAAACUGUUUAAGCAGCAUAUGCCAAAAGUCUUGAGGUCUUUCUGAGUGUAGCCUUCAUUGAUUUAAGAUCUACCGAACCAUUUUCUCACUAGAAGGGAACACCUAUAAUGGCAGCAGGCCGUAAAAGAGACCCAGUUUGGGAAUAUUUUAAUGAAGUUCCUCUACCUGUGGGUAAGACAGGCAUGCGUGCAAAAUGCAAACAGUGCAACAAAGAAAUGCAAGGCCUGGUUGCCCGAAUGAAACAUCAUCACGAGAAGUGCUCCUUCUCAGGAGGAAGCUGCAUUGAAGAUGAUGAAAGGAACAUGUCUGAACACGCAGGAUCUUCAGGAGAAUCCAUCCUCAACAUACAGGAUUCUCAAAACUAUUCACCUUCAAGAUCACCAUCAUCUUCUAUAGUUUCAGUUAUCUGCCAACGACAGUGUUUCAGUCACAUUAUGUAUGUCACAUAGCCACAGUAUAUCACCUGUAGCAAAAAGAAAAAUAAUCUCCAUCAUCCAGAAACAACCAUUAAUAAAUUUGUGAUAAGAACCAGCAGAUUACAAAAAAAUACAUUACUGAUUACAAAAAGAGGUAACUGAUGAAAAAAUUGCCCCGUUUGUUUAUGCAACAAACUCUCCUUUCCAUAUGAUUGAGAACUCACACUUCAUUAACAUGGUUCAGUCAUUAAGACCAGGAUACAGUCUACCCAACAGAGCAGAUGUCGCAGGUUGGAUGAAGUGUAUGAAAGAGAAAUUGAGCAGUGUGCAAAAGCUCUAGAGGGUGAAAUUGUUAACCUGAGUCUUGAUGGGUGGAGCAAUGUCCACAAUGAUCCUGUUGUAUGUGCUUGUGCGACAACAGAAGAAGGGAAUGUCUUCCUUACAGAAACAACUGAUACAUCAGGAAAUGCACACACAGCAGAAUACUUACAAGAAGUAGCAGUAAACGCUAAAACAAACUGUGAAAAAAAAUUCAAAUAUCUAGUACGCAGUUUGGUCACAGACAAUGAUGCAAAUGUAUCCAAGAUGAGAAGAAAUUUAGAAGAGAGUUGCAAGCUAAUAACAUGUGGUAGCAUUGCUUAUUUGAUGCACCUCUUAGACAAAGACUUCAGUGUUCCAGAAAUAAAGGCUAAUGUUUUUGAAAUUGCAAAAUACUUCUGUAACAACCACUUUGCAGCAGCUGCUCUGAAAAAAGUGAGAGGAAGCUAACUCUCCCACAAGACAUGCGAUGGAACUCAGUAGUGGACUGUUUUGAGCACUAUAUCAAGAACUGGCCUAAUCUGAUGAUAGUUUGUGAACAAAAUCGUGAAAAAAUAGAUGACACUGUUACAAGCCAAAGUUCUCAACAUUCAGCUUAAGAGAAAUGUUGAACACAUGCCGUGUACCCUGAAGCCUAUUUCUGUAGCCUUGAACAAAAUGCUGGGAAAUAGCUGUUUUAUUGCUGAUGCUGUUGAAAUUUGGAAGGAACUGAGUGAGAUCUUAAAAAGAGAAAUAUGCAAUGCCAGACAUAGCCCUGGUCUACACUACGACUUUAGGUCAGAUUUAGCAACGUUAGAUCGGUUUAGCCCUGCACCUGUCCACACUACGAAGCCAUUUUUUCCGACUUUAAGGGCUCUUAAAACCGGUUUCUGUAUUUCUCCCUGACGACUGCAUUAGUGCUGAAAUAGACCUUGCUGGGUCCAAUUUGGGAUAGUGUGAAUGGAAUUCGAUGGUAUUGCCCUCCGGGAGCUAUCUCAGAGUGCUCCAUUGUGACUGCUCUGGACAGCACUCUCAACUCAGAUGCACUGGCCAGGUAGACAGGAAAAGCCCCAUGAACUUUUGAAUUUCAUUUCCUGUUUGGCCAGCAUGGCGAGCUGAUCAGCACAGUUGACUAUGCAGAGCUCUUCAGCACAGGUGACCAUACAGUCCCAGAAUCACAAAAGAGCUCCAGCAUGGACCGAACGGGAGGUAUGGGAUCUGAUCACUGUAUGGGGAGACGAAUCCGUGCUAUCAGAACUCCGUUCCAAAAGACGAAAUGCCAAAGUAUUUGAAAAAAUCUCCAAGGGCAUGAAGGACAGAGGUUAUAACAGGGAUCCGCAGCAGUGCAGUAUGAAACUUAAGGAGCUCAGGCAAGCCUAUCAAAGAACCAGAGAGGCAAUCGGCCACUCCGGGUCAGAGCCCCAGACAUGCCGCUUCUGUGAAGAGCUGCAAGCCUUUCUAGGGGGUUCCCUACAACUACCCCAGCCCUGUGCGUGGACUCCGUCAAUGGACUCUCACACAACAGGGAUGCGGAUUUUGGAGACAAGGAAGAUGAUGAGGAGAAGGAGGUUGAAGCACAGCAAGCAAGAGGAGAAACCGUUUUCCCCAACAGCCAGGAACAGUUUCUCACCCUGGAUCUUGUACCAUCCCAACCCACCGAAGGCGGGCUCCCGGACCCAGAAGGCGGAGAAGGUACCUCUGCUCCAAAUGUUUCAUCGCUCCACGUAUCAUCUCUGUCCCAGAGGCUAUCAAAGAUUAGAAGCUGGAAAAAACGCAAACUGAUAUGCUCUGGCGUAUGGUUGAGGGGCAGGAAAGGCAGCAGGAGCACAGACCGCUGCUACAGCCUCAGUAUAACCAACCACCCUCCUCCCCAAGUUCCAUAGCCUCCUCACCCAGACGCCUAAGAACACGGUGGGGGGCCCCCGGGCACCCAACCACUCCACCCCAGAGGACUACCCAAGCAACAAAAUCUGGCAUUCAAUAAGUUUUGAAGUGCAGUAUGGCCUUGUCCUUCCGUCCUCCCCUCUUCCCCCACCCCACCCGGUGCUUCCCUCCUCCCCCACCCCUCCCAGGUUACCUUGGCAGUUAUU